UACGAGGGGGGCGAGCGUUGUUCGGAAUUAUUGGGCGUAAAGGGUGCGUAGGCGGUUUUGUAAGUCUUAUGUGAAAUCUAUGGGCUCAACUCAUAGACUGCAUGAGAAACUGCAGGGCUUGAGUAUGGGAGAGGUGAGUGGAAUUCCUGGUGUAGCGGUGAAAUGCGUAGAUAUCGGGAGGAACAUCAGUGGCGAAGGCGGCUGCCUGGCCCAAUACUGACACUCAGGUGCGACAGCGUGGGGAGCAAACAGG
rnacentral:rRNA from 1 species